UACGUAGGGUGCGAGCGUUAAUCGGAAUUACUGGGCGUAAAGGGUGCGCAGGCGGUUCGGAAAGAAGGAUGUGAAAUUCCAGGGCUCAACCUUGGGACGGCAUUUUUAACUACCGAGCUAGAGUGCGUCAGAGGGAGGUGGAAUUCCGCGUGUAGCAGUGAAAUGCGUAGAGAUGCGGAGGAACACCGAUGGCGAAGGCAGCCUCCUGGGACGACACUGACGCUCAGGCACGAAAGCGUGGGGAGCAAACAGG
rnacentral:misc_RNA from 1 species